GACGAACGCUGGCGGCGUGCCUAAUACAUGCAAGUAGAACGCUGAAGAGAGGAGCUUGCUCUUCUUGGAUGAGUUGCGAACGGGUGAGUAACGCGUAGGUAACAUGCCUUGUAGCGGGGGAUAACUAUUGGAAACGAUAGCUAAUACCGCAUAACAAUGGAUGACACAUGUCAUUUAUUUGAAAGGGGCAAUUGCUCCACUACAAGAUGGACCUGCGUUGUAUUAGCUAGUAGGUGAGGUAAUGGCUCACCUAGGCGACGAUACAUAGCCGACCUGAGAGGGUGAUCGGCCACACUGGGACUGAGACACGGCCCAGACUCCUACGGGAGGCAGCAGUAGGGAAUCUUCGGCGAUGGGGGCAACCCUGACCGAGCAACGCCGCGUGAGUGAAGAAGGUUUUCGGAUCGUAAAGCUCGGUUGUAAGUCAAGAACGGGUGUGAGAGUGGAAAGUUCACACUGUGACGGUAGCUUACCAGAAAGGGACGGCUAACUACGUG
rnacentral:rRNA from 1 species